rnacentral:rRNA from 1 species
AAACUGAAGAGUUUGAUCCUGGCUCAGAUUGAACGCUGGCGGCAUGCCUUACACAUGCAAGUCGAACGGCAGCACGGGUGCUUGCACCUGGUGGCGAGUGGCGAACGGGUGAGUAAUACAUCGGAACAUGUCCUGUAGUGGGGGAUAGCCCGGCGAAAGCCGGAUUAAUACCGCAUACGAUCCACGGAUGAAAGCGGGGGACCUUCGGGCCUCGCGCUAUAGGGUUGGCCGAUGGCUGAUUAGCUAGUUGGUGGGGUAAAGGCCUACCAAGGCGACGAUCAGUAGCUGGUCUGAGAGGACGACCAGCCACACUGGGACUGAGACACGGCCCAGACUCCUACGGGAGGCAGCAGUGGGGAAUUUUGGACAAUGGGCGAAAGCCUGAUCCAGCAAUGCCGCGUGUGUGAAGAAGGCCUUCGGGUUGUAAAGCACUUUUGUCCGGAAAGAAAUCCUUG